rnacentral:rRNA from 1 species
CCUACGGGAGGCAGCAGUGGGGAAUUUUGGACAAUGGGCGCAAGCCUGAUCCAGCAAUGCCGCGUGAGUGAAGAAGGCCUUCGGGUUGUAAAGCUCUUUUGUCAGGGAAGAAACGGGUCUUGGAUAAUACCGUGGGGCUAAUGACGGUACCUGAAGAAUAAGCACCGGCUAACUACGUGCCAGCAGCCGCGGUAAUACGUAGGGUGCAAGCGUUAAUCGGAAUUACUGGGCGUAAAGCGUGCGCAGGCGGUUGUGUAAGACAGGUGUGAAAUCCCCGGGCUUAACCCGGGAAUGGCAUUUGUGACUGCACGGCUAGAGCGUGUCAGAGGGGGGUAGAAUUCCACGUGUAGCAGUGAAAUGCGUAGAGAUGUGGAGGAAUACCGAUGGCGAAGGCAGCCCCCUGGGAUAACACUGACGCUCAUGCACGAAAGCGUGGGGAGCAAACAGGAUUAGAUACCCUGGUAGUCCACGCCCUAAACGAUGUCUACUAGUUGUCGGGUCUUAAUUGACUUGGUAACGCAGCUAACGCGUGAAGUAGACCGCCUGGGGAGUACGGUCGCAAGAUUAAAACUCAAAGGAAUUGACGGCUGAGACGNGACGAGACGACGACGAGGAGGAGG